AACGUAGGUGGCAAGCGUUAUCCGGAUUUACUGGGCGUAAAGCAUGUGCAGACGGGUUGGUAAGUGGUGUAUGAAAGCGUCCGGCUUAACCGGGCAAGCGUAGGCCAGACUGCCAGUCUUGAGAGUGGGAGAGGGAUGCGGAAUUCCAGGUGUAGCGGUGAAAUGCGUAGAUAUCUGGAGGAACACCGGUGGCGAAGGCGGCAUCCUGGACCGACACUGACGCUGAGGGGCGAAAGCCAGGGGAGCAAACGGG
rnacentral:rRNA from 1 species